CACGUAGUUAGCCGGGGCUUCUUCUGCAGGUACCGUCAUCGGUUCUUCCCUGCUGAAAGCGGUUCACAACCCGAAGGCCUCCAUCCCGCACGCGGCGUUGCUGCGUCAGGGUUUCCCCCAUUGCGCAAUAUUCCCCACUGCUGCCUCCCGUAGGAGUCUGGGCCGUAUCUCAGUCCCAAUGUGGCCGAUCGACCUCUCAGUCCGGCUACCCAUCGCAGGCUCGGUGGGCCGUUGCCCCGCCGACUACCUAAUGGGCCGCGACCCCAUCCCGCACCGUCUGGGCUUUCCCGGGCCCUGCAUGCGCAGGUCCCGGAGUAUCCGGUAUUAGCCGCCGUUUCCGGCGGUUGUCCCGGGGUGCGGGGCAGGUUGGUCACGUGUUACUCACCCGUUCGCCACUCUAUUCGCGCCCGAAGGCGCCUUAAUCGUUCGACUUGCAUGUGUUAGGCACGCCGCCAGCGUUCAUCCUGAGCCAGGAUCAAACUCU
rnacentral:rRNA from 1 species